rnacentral:rRNA from 1 species
UAGUACGGCGAGUGAAGCGGCAAAAGCUCAAAUUUGAAAUCUGGUACCUUUGGUGCCCGAGUUGUAAUUUGGAGAGGGCAACUUUGGGACCGUUCCUUGUCUAUGUUCCUUGGAACAGGACGUCAUAGAGGGUGAGAAUCCCGUGUGGCGAGGAGUGCGGUUCUAUGUAAAGUGCCUUCGAAGAGUCGAGUUGUUUGGGAAUGCAGCUCUAAGUGGGUGGUAAAUUCCAUCUAAAGCUAAAUAUUGGCGAGAGACCGAUAGCGAACAAGUACAGUGAUGGAAAGAUGAAAAGAACUUUGAAAAGAGAGUGAAAAAGUACGUGAAAUUGUUGAAAGGGAAGGGCAUUUGAUCAGACAUGGUGUUUUGCGCCCUCUGCUCCUUGUGGGUGGGGGAAUCUCGCAGUUCACUGGGCCAGCAUCAGUUUUGGUGGCAGGAUAAAUCCGUAGGAAUGUAACUUGCUUCGGGAAGUAUUAUAGCCUAUGGGAAUACUGCCAGCUGGGACUGAGGACUGCGACGUAAGUCAAGGAUGCUGGCAUAAUGGUUAUAUGCCGCCCGUCUUGA